rnacentral:rRNA from 1 species
CCUGGUGGCUAUGCCGGCCGGUCCCCACCCGAUCCCAUUCCGAACUCGGUCGUUAAGCCUGCCUGGGCCAAUGGUACUUCGUCUUAAGGCGCGGGAGAGUAGGUCGCCGCCAGGUCUAUCAAACACAAGCUUCAAACCCUUC